rnacentral:tRNA from 1 species
GGAGGUGUGGCUCAGUUGGUAGAGUGUUUGAAUUCCAUGCAUGAGGUUCUGGGUUCAAACCCCAGCACUGCAG